CCUGGAUCAUUGAUGUUGCUAAGAAACUGCGUUAUCUGUCUGUAAUUUCCUACAGGAAAUUGAAGAUAAUUUGACCUAGCUGAGAUCCAAU